AACAAUGUCUUUUAUAAAUAGACACCCAGAGUCACGAAGUGUUCAGGAGAAAUCCGGUGGACAUAUACAUGGAUCUAGUAGGAUUUAUCCUACUUUGUUUGUGUACGGUUAUGCGAGUAUACCUCGUAUACACUGUCGUGCUCGCGGUUGAUCUUAGAGCAAGUUGUUGUCGUUUUAAUCCAAUGUGGUUGGGCAAGGAAGAGUCUAUCAAUGCUGGGAGUUCUAAUAAUUGAGCUCUUUAUUCGGUAUUUUCUUCAAACAUUU
rnacentral:snoRNA from 1 species